CACGUAUUUAGCCGGGGCUUCUUAGUCAGGUACCGUCAUUUUCCUCCCUGCUGAUAGGGCUUUACAUGCCGAAGCACUCCAUCGCCCACGCGGCGUCGCUGCAUCACGGGUUCCCCCCAUUGUGCAAUACUCCCCCACUGCUGCCUCCCGUAGGAGUCUGGGCCGUGUCUCAGUCCCAAUGUGGCCGCCCACCCUCUCAGGCCGGCUACUGAUCGUCGCCUUGGUGGGCCGUUGCCCCGCCAACCAGCUAAUCAGACGCGGGCCCAUCCUGCACCGCCGGAGCUUCCCCGCCGCCCCAUGCGGGCUGCGGGCAUAUGCGGUAUUAGCAGCCGUUUCCGGCUGUUCGUCCCCCAGUGCAGGGCAGGUUGCCUACGCGUUACUCACCCGUCCGCCACUGGGCAGCGCCGGCUUCCGCUCCGAAAAGCCUCAGCCUGCGCCGCCCCGUUCGACUUGCAUGUGUUAGCACGCCGCAGCGUUCAUCCUGAGCAGGA
rnacentral:rRNA from 1 species